CCCCCCCCCCCCCCCCCCCCCCCCCCCCCCCCCCCCCCCCCCCCCCCCCCCCCCCCCCCUUCAGGUUUGUCAUGGCUGUGAACUCCUGGGUGAGUUUUUGGGGUUGGGGUUGAGUUUUGGGGGUUUAGUUUUGGGUUUGGGGUUCAGGUUUGGUUUUAUGGGUUUAGUUUUAAGUUUUGGGUUGAGUUUUGGGGUUUGGUUUUAUGGGUUUAGUUUUGGAUUUGGGUUUUACUGGUUUAGUUUUUGGUUUGGGAUUCAGGUUUGGUUUUAUGGGUUUAGUUUUGUUUGGGUUGAGAUUUGGGGUUUGGUUUUGUAAGUUCAGUUUUGGUUUUAUGGGUUUAGUUUUGGGUUUUGAGUUGGGUUUCAGAGUCAGGAUUUGUGGGUUUAGUUUUGGGUUGUGGGUUUAGUUUGGGUUUGUUGGUUUGGGGUUUUGUUUUGUGGGUUGAGUUUUGUGGGGUUAGCUUUGCUUUUGGGGUUAAGAUUUGGUUUCGUGUGUUUAAUUUGGGAUUUUCUGGGUUUCAUUCGGGUUUGGGGUUGAUUUUUUUGGGAUUCUCCUUCCUUUGCACCCUCAAAUUCCAUUUCCAAUGUGCUGCUUUGGGUUGAAAACAAAAAAUUCUGCUUUAAACUCGCUUUUAAUCCUCCCCAAUAUUUUGUGGAUUUGUAUAUUUGUAAACAGUGCCAAAAUAAAGAUAUUUGAACUUUUCUUUUGGGGUUUUGAGGUUUUUUUGGGGGGUUUGAGGUUUUUUUGAGCUUUCUUGGGGUGGGUUGAGCUUUUUUGGGGGGAUUUUGACCUUUUUUUGGAGUUUUUUUGGGAAAUCCCUGGAGCUGGAAAAUCCCUGGAGCUGCGGCCACUGGGGGGGAGUAGAAGGCAAGGAGAGGGAGCCGAGCUUUUCCAAGAAUUCCUGGGAAAUCCUGCAGAAUCCCUGGAAAAAACGAACAGAAUUUUUCAAUAAUUCCUGGGAACAGGUGAAUCCUCUGGAAUUGC
rnacentral:lncRNA from 12 species